CUGUAAUGUUGCUGGCCUUUGUACCUCUCCUUUUUCUUCUGCCCAAAAGCUUAUACCAAAUCUCUUUUAGAAGAGCACAACUACAGGAAGGCUUCAUCAUCAGCGCAGUUGCUGUAUAUUAACCACCACCUAUACAGCAGUGAUAUGUGUGGGACCAGGAGUGCUGCUUGGAAGCUAAGGUAGCCCAGCAAAAGGAGUUGGAGUGGAAAAUAGGAAGAUCUGAGUGGCUGAAGUGCUACUUAAGAGAUGAUGAGAACCUUUGCCAGUGAGAUGGGAGAUUUCAACGCGCUCUGUCCUCCUUAGUUCUCUCUUCAAGAAGAAGGAUGCAGAUGUCUUUGGCAGGAAGAAAUCCA